GGGUUGUGAGGUUAAGCGACUAAGCGUACACGGUGGAUGCCCUGGCAGUCAGAGGCGAUGAAGGGCGUGCUAAUCUGCGAUAAGCGCCGGUAAGGUGAUAUGAACCGUUAUAACCGGCGAUACCCGAAUGGGGAAACCCAGUGUGAUUCGUCACACUAUCAUUAACUGAAUCCAUAGGUUAAUGAGGCGAACCGGGGGAACUGAAACAUCUAAGUACCCCGAGGAAAAGAAAUCAACCGAGAUUCCCCCAGUAGCGGCGAGCGAACGGGGAGGAGCCCAGAGCCUGAAUCAGCAUGUGUGUUAGUGGAAGCGUCUGGAAAGGCGCGCGAUACAGGGUGACAGCCCCGUACACAAAAGCGUAUGUGCUGUGAGCUCGAUGAGUAGGGCGGGACACGUGGUAUCCUGUCUGAAUAUGGGGGGACCAUCCUCCAAGGCUAAAUACUCCUGACUGACCGAUAGUGAACCAGUACCGUGAGGGAAAGGCGAAAAGAACCCCGGCGAGGGGAGUGAAAAAGAACCUGAAACCGUGUACGUACAAGCAGUGGGAGCACCCUUUGGGGUGUGACUGCGUACCUUUUGUAUAAUGGGUCAGCGACUUAUAUUCUGUAGCAAGGUUAACCGAAUAGGGGAGCCGGAGGGAAACCGAGUCUUAAUUGGGCGUUAAGUUGCAGGGUAUAGACCCGAAACCCGGUGAUCUAGCCAUGGGCAGGUUGAAGGUUGGGUAACACUAACUGGAGGACCGAACCGACUAAUGUUGAAAAAUUAGCGGAUGACCUGUGGCUGGGGGUGAAAGGCCAAUCAAACCGGGAGAUAGCUGGUUCUCCCCGAAAGCUAUUUAGGUAGCGCCUCGUGAAUUCAUCUCCGGGGGUAGAGCACUGUUUCGGCUAGGGGGUCAUCCCGACUUACCAACCCGAUGCAAACUGCGAAUACCGGAGAAUGUUAUCACGGGAGACACACGGCGGGUGCUAACGUCCGUCGUGAAGAGGGAAACAACCCAGACCGCCAGCUAAGGUCCCAAAGUCAUGGUUAAGUGGGAAACGAUGUGGGAAGGCCCAGACAGCCAGGAUGUUGGCUUAGAAGCAGCCAUCAUUUAAAGAAAGCGUAAUAGCUCACUGGUCGAGUCGGCCUGCGCGGAAGAUGUAACGGGGCUAAACCAUGCACCGAAGCUGCGGCAGCGACACUCAGG
rnacentral:rRNA from 1 species